rnacentral:rRNA from 1 species
ACUAACGCUGGCGGCGUGCCUAACACAUGCAAGUCGUGCGAUUGUACGAGUGUAGCAAUACGUUCGUGCUUUAGCGGCAGACGGGUGAGUAACGCGUAGAUAACGUGCCCUUCAGUGUGGGAUAGCUGUUGGAAACGACAGGUAAUACCACAUGCGCUUGUCUGGGGACAUCCUCAGACAAGGAAAGCAGUAAUGCGCUGGAGGAGCGGUCUGCGUCCUAUUAGCUUGUUGGUGGGGUAAAGGCCUACCAAGGCGACGAUGGGUAGCCGGUCUGAGAGGAUGAUCGGCCACACUGGCACUGAGAUACGGGCCAGACUCCUACGGGAGGCAGCAGUGAGGGAUUUUGCGCAAUGGGCGAAAGCCUGACGCAGCGACGCCGCGUGAGGGAUGACGGCCUUCGGGUUGUAAACCUCUGUCAGUGGGGAAGAGUAAGGACGGUACCCACUGAGGAAGCUUCGGCUAACUACGU